UUUUGGAUUCAAUUAUAAAUAUUUUUUUUUUUUUUGGAAAGAUAAGUAGCACGCUAUCCGAUUCAUUUAUUUUAUUUAGAAAUAAACUUAGCUAGAAAUGUGAAGCAACUAGAAUUCGAAUUUGGGUCUCAGGUACCAACCACCAAACCCUUUGUCACUUGCUACAGUCAGUGAUUCAAUUAUAAAAAUUGUUAGUACGAAACUUAGGGUGCAUUUGGUUCGCAUUAUGAAAGAUUACUAGGAAUAAAAGAUAUCCGAGAAUCUUAUUUCUAUUAAUCCUAUUACUAAGAAUGUGGAAUUCCUGUGUUUGGUUCGCACGGUAAUAUUAAUUAGCCAUGUUAUUUAAUAUUACAAAAAAUAUACAAUUAAUUAAUUAAUUAAUUAAAUUAAUUUUAGAUAAUGUUACCAAAAGUUUCAACAUCUUUUUAGAAAAAAGGGAGAGAGAGUAUAAGUUAGAGAGAGAGAGCAUAAUUAAAAAAAUAGAAUGAAAAAUAUAGUCGAAAUUAGAGGGAGUGAGAGAGUUGAAAUUUUAGAAAGAGAGAGAGAGAGAAAGCUUAGUUUAGAGAGAGAAAAAAAN
rnacentral:lncRNA from 1 species